GAUGAACGCUGGCGGCGUGCCUAAUACAUGCAAGUCGAGCGAACAGACGAGGAGCUUGCUCCUCUGACGUUAGCGGCGGACGGGUGAGUAACACGUGUAUCACCUACCUAUAUGUCUGGGAUAACUUCGGGACACCGGAGCUAAUACCGGAUAAGAUAAUGAACCGCAUGGUUCAAUGGUGAAAGACGGUUUUGCUGUCUCUUAUAGCUGGAUCCGCGCCGCAUUAGCUAGUUGGUAAGGUCACGGCGUACCAAGGCCACGAUGCGUAGACGACCUGAUAGAGUGAUAGGCCACACUAGAGCUGAGCCGCGGUCAAGACUCCUAAGAGAGGCAGCAGUAGAGAAUCGUCCGCAAUAGGCGAAAGCCUGACGGAGCAACGGCGAGUGAGUGAUAAAAGUCUUCGGAUCGGAAAACUCUGUUAUUGGGGAAGAACAACUUUGUAAGUAGAUAAGCACGUAUUGACGGUACCUAAUCAGAAAGCCACGGCUAACUACGUG
rnacentral:rRNA from 1 species